rnacentral:rRNA from 1 species
GGGGAACUGAAACAUCUCAGUACCCGGAGGAAAGGAAAUCAACCGAGACUCCGUAAGUAGCGGCGAGCGAAAGCGGAUAUAGCCCAAACCGGCCUUCGGGCCGGGGUUGCGGGUCCUCGAGGAGUUACAAAGGCGCGGCAAGCAGAAUGGUCUGGAAAGGCCAACGAUACCGGGUGACAGUCCCGUACGCGACAGCCGAUGCCCUCCGUUGAGAGGAUACCCAGAGUAGCACGGAUGCCGUGAAACUCCGUGUGAAGCAGGGGGGCCCACCCUCCAAGGCUAAGUACUACUGAACGACCGAUAGUGAACCAGUAUGGCGACUGAAAGGUGAAAAGUACCGCAAUAAGCGGAGUGAAAAGUACCUGAAACCAUGCAUCUACAAGCAGUCGAAGACCUAUGCCCUUUAUUGGGCCUGGUCGACGGCGUACCUUUUGCAUAAUGGACCGGCGAGUUACUCCUCUGUGGCAAGGCUAAGCAGUUCAGCUGCGGAGCCGCAGCGAAAGCGAGUCUGAAUAGGGCGACAUAGUCAGUGGGGGUAGACGCGAAACCUUGUGAUCUACCCAUGGCCAGGUUGAAGUUUUGGUAACACAAAAUGGAGGACCGAACCAGUACACGUUGAAAAGUGUUUGGAUGAG